CCAAAAAAUUCUCGAGAAAUUCUUUUCUAAUCUUCAUUUUGACCUCGGAAUUAGGAAAUCUUGAAACCCUUUUAAUUUCGUCUCAAGACGAUUGGGUUUCUGGUUGUUUCCCCUCUGGUUCUGAAUGCUUUUGAUGCUGCGGUUUUUGCGGCGACUUCGGAGGGUUCCCGUGGCGAACGCGGCGGCUUUGCGCCGAGAGGGCCACAAGCGACAUGUUGAUCAGUCCAGAUUGGGCAAUCGACAUUGAAUUGUGCGGCAUUAUCAAUAUGGAGGCUUGGUACUGGUUCUUCUCCUCUUCUUGCCCUUUUCUUAUGUUUGUGAUUCUGUUCGGCCAUCGUCUAUGUGUUUUAUGUAAUUUAUUUGACGAAAGCUCUUCGUCACCUUCACUGGAUUAUCUCAUAGAUGAUGCUAGCCAGGUACUACCUUGUUCCGAUGGAGCUGUCUGCCUAUGUAAUUGAUUAUGAUAGGUAAGCAUUGCAUCUUAGUGAAACUAUAAACAACUGAUCUUUUAGAAAAUCGAUACUUGAUUUCGUACCAAAUUGUUUCUGUAUUAUUCUGAUUUUUGGCCCAGAACUCAUGUAAUGAAUAUGAAUGGAUAACUCAGCAAUAUGUUGAAGAAAUAACAUGCAUCCUUUUUCUUGGUUAUGCUACCUCAAUACAUCAUCAUUUAAUCUUUGAUUUCUCUUCCUGUGUAGUUUGUUAUUGAAGGAUUAGGUGAAUUCUCUUGUAUUGCUAGGAGUCUUUUUCUUUCUUUUUUUUUUUUUUUGUGGUGAACUGGUGACAUUUUAAAAAUAUAGAUGUGUGCUUUCCUUGCUAGGCUUGCUUCCAAAUCUUUUGACAUUGCGAGAUAAGGCCAUCCUAGUAUAGAAUCUGCUAUUUUCUACUUGCUAUAAUCUGUGAUUCUAUUACUAUAGAAUGCCUUAGGCUGCAAUAAAGACCGUGAGAAGCCUUUUGACAUGGUAGUUCCAUAUUCUGUUACUAGUUGUAACACUUCUCCAGUUGAUACGGCCAUUUCUGUUGUUCUGUAGCAAUCUUUUCGAAGUAUUUAAAAAAACUGGAUUCUGUCAGCUUAUAUCUUUAUCAUGUCACAAAAAACGACAAGUAUGUCUUCUAUUUACUUCUCAUCCAUUUGUUGUCAAGAAUGUCGGUUUUCACUAUUUAAUGCUGCAGGAAACAUAACUGGGUUUUUUUCUCUAAUGGAGGUUAUUAAGAUGCUGCAGCAAUUAUCUUGAAUCAGUUCCACGAGGCACCAUUGUUGUCAUGACUUCAUUUAGAGUAUAGUAUAUUAAAUGUCAAUAGGGGAGGUUCAUGUGCCUGCACACUAGUUUUUAGGUUGGACUACAACCUGACAUCAAGGUGAGUGCUUCAACAAGACUGCUGUCCAUGCAUUCCACUAUGCGUCUAGCUUAUAAACACCCAUAUCUGAUUCUUUAUGUAGUAUUCCACGGUUAUUUUUUUUUUCAAACUGAACUUUGAAGUUGGUCCUCUGCAUUGGACAGGUGGUGCCAUUAUUGCUAAAUCAACCUUCUAGAGAAAUUUUAUUUCGGUACUUUGAUUUAAUUGCAGUUGUGUUUCAUGCUGCUUGUUCUUGUAGCUUGUCAUUGAAUCAUACUAGUUUAAGACCACUUUCAAUCUAUUGUUGGAUCUCUUAACUUUUAUUUAUUUUUAUCUUUUUAGUGAAGUACAGGCAGGCAACGGAUACCCUUAUGAUACUUAAGAAGUGCCUAGGAAGCAAGAACUCCAAAAUACAACUUCUGGCACUUUUUUUGAGCACAUGAAACUUUUUUUUCCUGCAAUUAAGAAUUUUUUAUUUUGCAAUUUGAUUCUGUAAGAUAUUUAUAUUUUUAUAAUUUCUUGUCAUAGUUUUCUAUUACAUUUCUUUGAGUUUUGUUUCCAGGGAUACUAUUGCUGGGAAACACAAUUUUCUAAUAGACUGCAUCCAGCUAUUUUUAUUUUCCUUAUGCAAGAGCCGUACAUCCAUAUAUGACUUAUGCAUUGCAUCCUUUUUUAUUGAAAAAUGGAAGUUGGGAUUAGCAAAUAGUGUUAUGAAGAUUCUUUGUCAGCAAAGAAUUUUAGCCAUUGUUAUAAAUUUAUGUCUUAUGACUUGAUCCAAUCAGGAAGAAGAAAGAUUUUCUUCAACCCGCUCAAUUCGAAUCUCUCAAAAGAAAACUAGAAGAAGAUAGAGGAAUCUCGAAAAAUUGUUAAUUCAGGUGUUAGAAACUCCAAACAAAAAUUGUAGGGACUAUGUUCGCCAACAAAUUGUUGAGCAGGAUAUCUUGAAUGAAAUGGUGAAAGUGGUGAAGAAAAAACCAAACUUGAAUGUGAGGGAGAAGAUAUUGAUUCCAAUGGAUACAUGGCAAGAUGCUUUUGGAGGAGCAGGAGGAAGAUAUCCCCAAUAUCAUGCUGUAUACCAAGAACUAAGAGUAUUCUUUUAAACUGUCCUCCUUGAACCUCUCUCUCACUCACGCACACACACACAAACACAGAGAGAGAGAGAGAGAGAGAGAGAGAGAGAGAGAGAGACAUACACACACACAUUCUCCUGGUUCAUGUUUCAUGCCCAGACCUACUAAGCUUCUGGUUUAUCCAAUGAUUAACCAAUGAACCAUAAGAGUUUUGGCCCUGAAUUUACCUUAUAACGACUUCAUUUUUGAAAUAAAGCCAUUCUUAUAAAUUAUGAUCAACAUGUGAUAUGUGCAUGUAGUUUUUGUCCUGA